GUUCAUUGAAGUGCCCAUCUGAAGUUUUUCCCUUUUUUUUUUCACCCUUCAAUCUCCCAAAAUUUUUGCUGCCAUGAAUCCAGUAAUUCUCUUAUUUCUCUCAUCUUUGUUUAUCAAGUCACUGUCUUCAAAGGUUGCGCCAGCCAAAAGCAAUGCCCACAUCACUGUAAUGGGUUUUGUUUAUUGUGACAUCUGCUCCAACAACAGCUUCUCCAGACACAGCUACUUCUUACCAGGNCUUACCAGGCGCAGGAGUUAGAAUAGACUGCAAGUUCAAAGCAAGUUCACCAAAAAUCAAAGAACAAGUAUCGUUCUCAGUAAACAGAACCACAAAUAGGCACGGACUCUACAAGUUGGAAGUACCUUCUGUUGAUGGAAUUGCCUGUGCAGAAGUGGCCAUUGAAUCUUCCUGUGAGGCAAGCUUAAUGUGGAGUUCUUCUAAAUCAUGCAAUGUUCCUGGAUACAAGUCCACAUCAGAUCAGAUAACAAUCAAAGCCAAACGCCCCAAUCUCUGCAUCUAUAGCCUCAAUGCGUUGAAUUUCAGACCAUCAAAGACUGAUCUUACCUUAUGUGGAAAUUAAGAAAAAAGAAAGAUUUCUGCAGUUCUUUCAACCUUUUGGUCACCGAUAUAUGGCUUUCUUCUGUCUAAAUGUCCACCUUUUCUCUUUGGACUCCUCUUCUAUUCCUCCAAUUCCGUCUCUCCUUCAAAAUAAGUGCACUUUCCAUUAAAAUAUGCUCCUAAGCCCAUCACAGGUGAUCACCAUUUGCUAAUGCAGUAUCUUGGGAGCUAAUUAUUUGUUUUAUAUAUUUUUAUUUUGUUGUUU
rnacentral:misc_RNA from 1 species